GUCUUUCCCAUGUGGUCCUACAUGGAAUGCUGUGCCUCAUGUCUCUAGGACCCGCUCAAUAUGUACUCCUUUGCUCCUGCUUAAGCAUGUGUGUCAUAUGGCACCUGGGCAACCCCACUACUAUAUCUGUCCCCUGCGACGAGGGUAUGAUAUUCUUCUGUUGCAGCACAAGAGGUAUUCAUGCAGGCCAAUCACCAAGUGUUGGCUAUCAGAGGAACCUGCUGGACAGAGAGGACUGACUCCUGCUACGAAAGCUGAAGCUACUCUGCCUCUUUAUGAGUAAAGGGUGGUUUCAUCCAGUACUUGACUGUUUUUCUCCUCAAUGAUUCUGGUAUCAAGAUGCAGUGGGCAAAAGUGCUCAGACUCCUACUCCUGAUAAUAGUUAACAGAUGUCACUUGCUCGACGUACAUGUAAUUGUAUGAUUAUUCAAUUAAUUUUAAUUUCUCCCAAUAUACCAAAAAAUCAAGGAGGAAAUAGGUCAUGACUAUUUUUCACUGCAUUUUAUCACCAAUACCUAUUUAUGCUAGAUUAUAAUUUUUUUUUUUGAGACAGAGUCUCAUUCUGUCACCCAGACUGGAGUGCAGUGGCGCGAUCUUGGCUCACCGCAAGCCCCGUCUCCUGGGUCACGCCAUUCUGCUGCCUCAGUCUCCCGAGUAGCUGGGACUACAGGCACCAGCCACCGCGCCCGGCUAAUUUUUUGUUUGUUUGUUUUUAGUAGAGACGGGUUUCACCGUGUUAGCCAGGAUGGUGUCGAUCUCCUGACCUCGUGAUCCACCUGCCUCGGCCUCCCAAAGCGCUGGGAUUACAGGCGUGAGCCACGGCACCCGGCCCAGAAAAGAUUUUAAAAUGGGUAAAAAUGUAUAUAGAAAUAAGCUAAUGAUACUAUGGCUGCCCUUGCAACAUUUCAUUAUCUUGACAAAGUGCUUGGUUUUAGUAGUAAUUGGGUAUCAAAAAUGAAUCCAUGUAACUGCACAGGGGUACACUGGAACCAACACCUGUGUAUGAAGAUG
rnacentral:lncRNA from 10 species